ensembl:lncRNA
CAGAGGUUAAGAUGCUGUCACUAAAUGACUUUUAAAGAUCGCUUGGUCUUAAAAGAGAGCUCCUUCAGAAGUUUUAAAAAACCAAUAGAGCACAAAAUUUGAAAAAAAUGAAAGGCGAUACUUAUUUGAAGAGGAGAGAUACUUCUGAAGUUUGAUAUACACUUAACUAGAUGUAAAAGUCUAAAAUAAAAACAGUUGUAAAGAAUGAUUUGAGACAGCUGCUGCGGUAAAUGUGACACCAGAAGAUGCUCAGCCGGUGAGAGGUGGCCUUUUAGGGAAAGAGCUCAGAAGAGGGUGUGGCAUCCUCUGAGACUGGAGUUACAGCUAUGAACUGUCACGUGACAUAGGUGCUGGGAACCGAACCUGGAUCCUCGGGAACUGCAGAAAGUGCUCUCAAAUACCGUUCCACCACUCCAGCCCCCACUACAGGGAUUUGGAAGAAAAUAUUUACAUGAUGAUUAUGGUGGUACAAAGGAAGUGUACUGAAUCUGAUCAUCAAAACACAACUGCAUAUCAAUAACAUCGAAGGAACAGUAAACUGAGCUUCAAUGUAUAAUAGGGCUCAGAGAACCAGUGGAAGAGGAGAAAGAAGGAGUAUAAGAGCCAGAGGGAUGGGGGACAGCAAGAAAACAAGGCCCUGUAAACCAACGGGACUGAUGUACACAUGAACUUACAGAGACUGAGGCAUCGUGCACAGGGCUUACAUGGGUCUGCACCAGCUGGGGUCCUCUUGCUGCAAGGAGAAGCAGACACAUGCCCCGAGCCCUAACCAGAAGCAUUGAUAACCAGUCGAUGGAUAACCACUUGCAAAUGAAAACUUCGUUUUCUUCAAGGGAGUUGCACUGGGGAAACAAACGACUCUGAAGGGUAGGCUGCUUGCACUGCAGUAGUUGGUCAAACUCACUGGCAUCCUUGGGGGUUCUUGUCCCAAAAUGUUGUCAGAGCUUUGUUUUUAAUCUUAUUUUAUAUUUAAAUUUUUAUGUGUAUUUUUUCCUCUUUGUACUCUUCAGGUUCUUGGGGUAUAUACCAAGGCUUUCAGUUUCGUGUUACAGGCAACGACUGAGCGUGAGAAUGAGUGGCUCUCUGAUUCUUGUGCCCUCUCUUGGGCUCUUUUACUUGGGCUU